rnacentral:lncRNA from 1 species
GAACAUGGCCGCUUCCGGUCUCCCUCCCGGGCCGGCGCUGGCCUGACUGCGGCCCCGGUCCGUAGCACUCCGCCCUCCGCUUCUCCCGCCCUGUAGCCGCGAAGACUGCUUCAGCCUUUCCCUGUGCUGCCCCUGCCGCGCGAUGGAGAAGAGCUCGAGCUGCGAGAGUCUUGGCUCCCAGCCGGCGGCGGCUCGGCCGCCCAGCGUGGACUCCUUGUCCAGUUAAUGUGUUAAGAGCCAUUGACAUUUGAAGAUCAUCAGAAGUGAAGAUAAAACAUCUCAAAAAUUAUAAUUGCCUCCACUUCUCAUUCAGAGAAUUCAGUGCAUACAAAAUCAGCUUCUGUUGUAUCAUCAGAUUCCAUUUCAACUUCUGCCGACAACUUUUCUCCUGAUUUGAGGAGGGAGUCUCGCUCUAUCCCCUAGGCUGGAGUGCAUUGGCGCCAUCUCGGCUCAUUUGCAACCUCUGUCUCCCGGGUUCAAGCGAUUCUCCUGCCUCAGCUUCCCGAGGAGCUGGGAUUACAGGUCCUGAGGGAGUCUAACAAGUUAGCAGAAAUGGAAGAACCACCCUUGCUUCCAGGAGAAAAUAUUAAAGACAUGGCCAAAGAUGUAACUUAUAUAUGUCCAUUCACUGGCGCUGUACGAGGAACUCUGACUGUCACGAAUUAUAGGUUAU